UACGAAGGGUGCAAGCGUUACUCGGAAUCACUGGGCGUAAAGCGUGCGUAGGUGGUUUUUUAAGUCUGUGGUGAAAGCCCCGGGCUUAACCUGGGAAUGGCCAUGGAAACUGGCGAGCUGGAGUGUGGCAGAGGGGGGUGGAAUUCCGCGUGUAGCAGUGAAAUGCGUAGAGAUGCGGAGGAACACCGAUGGCGAAGGCAGCCCCCUGGGCUAACACUGACGCUGAGGCACGAAAGCGUGGGGAGCAAACAGG
rnacentral:rRNA from 1 species